CUACGGGCGGCAGCAGUGAGGAAUUUUGCGCAAUGGGGGAAACCCUGACGCAGCAACGCCGCGUGAGUGAAGAAGGCCUUUGGGUCGUAAAGCUCUGUCAACUGGGAAGAAGUUAGAAUUGUUUAAUAGAUGAUUCUAUUGACGGUACCAGUGGAGGAAGCGCCGGCUAACUCCGUGCCAGCAGCCGCGGUAACACGGGGGGCGCAAGCGUUAUUCGGAAUUAUUGGGCGUAAAGGGCGCGCAGGCGGUCUUGUCAGUCAGGUGUGAAAGCCCGGGGCUCAACCCUGGAAGUGCACUUGAAACAGCAAGACUAGAGUACGGGAGAGGAGAGAGGAAUUCCUGGUGUAGAGGUGAAAUUCGUAGAUAUCAGGAGGAACACCGAUGGCGAAGGCAUCUCUCUGGACCGAUACUGACGCUGAGGCGCGAAGGCGUGGGUAGCGAACGGGAUUAGAUACCCUUGUAGUC
rnacentral:rRNA from 1 species